CCUGCCUUCUAUCUGCAACUUCAACACAACAUACCUUGGUAGCCUCACAGGUUUUUUUCAUGGCGUGUGUAAAAGAUAAACGAGCCUGAUAGAAAAUGUGAAAUGCGACAGUACAUUAAGGCCUCGUUAGAGUUCCUUGGGAACAGAAGAGGCAGAAAAAGCUUGAGCAGACCCUGGAGGGAGCAAGAGCAGCAUUUCCACAGCCAGGCGGCCCUGGCUCUUGGGUUUUCUCACAGUUAGAGGCUCCGCGGUUGGCGUUUCUAGCCCUUCCCCAUGCAACACUGCCCUGGGGGAGGGACGGGUGCCUGCCUCCACCUCCGAGUCCCAUAGAUGAACCCCCGAGAGACUGAACUCAGUGCCACUUUCUAGAACUUCAGUCUGCAAACAGAAUUAGUUGUGAUGUGCGCUGCUGUGAGUACCCAGCAGGAAAGAAGGAACACAGACAAGGAAGUGGUUUUCAAGAAUAAAGACACGCGAGAGUCCCAAGAUUAGUGCUCCGGUGACAGGUCUCUGAUGGAUCCACAAAGCAUUUUCUGUUUGUUUGUUUUUUAAUUAAAAAAAAAUGUUAAUGUUUGU